rnacentral:ncRNA from 1 species
GUGGUGCAUGAAAGGAGAGAAGGCUAGCACUCCCCUUGACAAGGAUGGAAGAGGCCCUCGGGCCUGACAACACGCAUAUGGUUAAGGCAUUGCCAUCUACUUCGCGGCCUCUAACCACUGUUUUUU